UGAAUAAUCUAAUUUUGAGAUGAAUUUUAGAUAAGUGAAAUAUAAAUGUAAUGGAACUGUCUCACUUUGAAAUGCAAGAUCGGUGACCUAAAAAUUUUACUAAUCCGAAGGAUCUUGUUUCACCUAUAUAAAAAAUAAUGAGAGCAGAUCGACAAAGAUCGGUUACAGAUCGUAUAUAAAAUCAAAGAAUAAGCAUUGUCGAGGAAUUUUACUACUUUCACCCGAUUUUCUCCGCUAUUCUUCUUCAAAAUUCAAAGACAAACUGGUAACACGAAUAACCAUGCGUAACAUUAUUUCAAGAAGGAAUUUUAAAAUCACUUGAAAUUGUAAUGAUCUAAAUACACUUAAGCAUAGUAUUGGAGGUUGUUAAAAUACAGCUGAUCGCUAAAGCAGUUCGUGGAAGACUGAUUAGAUGAAAUUAUGUAAAUUGCUAUGAAACAUUGGAAUUAGAGGCUUAUCUUUCCAAUGGUAGCAUAAGAUGGCCGGAUAAGAAGCUGGCAAGAGAAAGGAAACGGAGGUUCUAAGGUGAAAGUUGGAUAAAUUCCAUCGUUGCUCUUGUAUUCUAUUAUUUUAAUCUUUUUUAGCCGGAAGAUUCAUCGGCUAGUGAGUUAGUGGGAACUUCUGAUGAAACUAAAUAUAGGAUUUCAAUUGUGACACGCACCGGAAGUUGAAGAAUCUUGCGCUCGAAAGCGCGUUAAAUUUUGAGAAAAUUGAAAUAAUUGCUUCGUGUAAAGGCGAUAAAUUAAUCUUGAGAAUCUGAGAAUAAUUUGUUAGUUUGGACAUGUACUUUAUAACUUAAUUUCCCUAUCUUUUGUGUCGAAAUCAAAAAUUAAAUAUAAGAUUGAUUUAUCUAAAAAUUAAGAGGUUAAUUUCACUUUGACACGAUAACUUUGAUAAGACGAAGAGAUUUUUCCGAACCUGAAGAACAUACACGACGAGAAACGUGAAGUGUUCUGCUCGCAUAUAUGCUGCACGUGACUAAAAUACACUUCCUUGCUUGGCUGAGUCAAAAAUAAAAAUACAACUUGACGAUCGAUUUCGAUGUUCUGGAAUCGUUCGAGACAAAAAUUUCACUUUCGUAAAUAUUGUUGCCUAAGAAUUAAAAAUUCAAAUUUUCUUUUCUAAAAGUUAAAAAAUGUAAAAAUAAUUUAACAAAAAAAAAUUAUUACAUAAUAAUUAUUAAAUUACGAAUUAUCAUUAUUGAUAAAUUACUUCAUAUAUUUAUUUAAUACAUAUAUGAUAAAAUCACGAAUGAUUUUUUAUUUAAAAUUUCAUAUGUAUAAUUAAUAUAAAAUAAUAAAUAAAUAUAUAUAUAUAUUUAUUUUUAUAAAUAAAAAUUAAAACAAAA